rnacentral:lncRNA from 1 species
CUGACUACAACUGAUUAAGUAAUAUGUUGCAAAGAGUUUUGAGGAGCAAAAAAAUGAAAAAAAAAUAUUGUGGAAAAAGAAAGAAAGAAUGAAAGAAAAAGAAAAAAGAAAUAAAAAAUGAGAAAAAGAAAAGGAGAAAUAAAUACUCAUUAGUUCUUUGAGCUUCAUAGAAAUUCCAAGUGCUUUCAAGAUUAAAGAUUAUUCCAUACUCAUUAUUCCAAUCAUAUGCUAUCCGAUUACAAUGACUUCAUUUGUACCUCGCGAUCACUCUUUGCCCUUGCAAAUAUCCACUAUCUAAAUGUGUGUGUUCAUUCUCUCCCUCUCCAUAAGCAAUUAUUUUUUAUAAACUUUUUGACAAGUCUCAGUAAAAUCC